rnacentral:tRNA from 1 species
GAAGGUAUGACAGAGAGGUUUAUUGUGUCUGACUUGAAAUCAGAAAUGUUUUUAAAACAUCGUAGGUUCAAAUCCUACUACCUUCU